UACGGAGGAUGCGAGCGUUAUCCGGAUUUAUUGGGUUUAAAGGGUGCGUAGGCGGAGUGUCAAGUCAGCGGUAAAAUGUCCGGGCUCAACCCGGGCCGGCCGUUGAAACUGGGGAUCUAGAGUGUGCGAGAGGUAUGCGGAAUGCGUGGUGUAGCGGUGAAAUGCAUAGAUAUCGCGCAGAACCCCGAUUGCGAAGGCAGCCUGCCGGCCCCACACUGACGCUGAGGCACGAAAGCGUGGGUAUCGAACAGG
rnacentral:rRNA from 1 species